CGACCGCUGGCGGCAUGCCUAACACAUGCAAGUCGAACGAGACCUUCGGGUCUAGUGGCGCACGGGUGCGUAACGCGUGGGAACCUGCCCUUAGGUUCGGAAUAACUCCCCGAAAGGGGUGCUAAUACCGGAUAAUGUCUUCGGACCAAAGAUUUAUCGCCUUUGGAUGGGCCCGCGUUGGAUUAGCUAGUUGGUAGGGUAAAAGCCUACCAAGGCGACGAUCCAUAGCUGGUCUGAGAGGAUGAUCAGCCACACUGGGACUGAGACACGGCCCAGACUCCUACGGGAGGCAGCAGUGGGGAAUAUUGGACAAUGGGCGAAAGCCUGAUCCAGCAAUGCCGCGUGAGUGAUGAAGGCCUUAGGGUUGUAAAGCUCUUUUACCCGGGAUGAUAAUGACAGUACCGGGAGAAUAAGCGCCGGCUAACUCCGUG
rnacentral:rRNA from 1 species